GGCGUAGCUAGACAAAUGUUGAAGUUGAAGCCCAAAUCGGCAGGGGGUCUGGGGGCCGCUUAAGGCCCCCAGUGGGUCCAGGGCAAAGCCCUGGUAGGGGUCCAGGGGGCGAAGCCCCCUGAAGCUCCUGGAUUUUAGGGUUUUAGACCCACAAAUAUUAACUGAAAAUAUUGAAUGUUAAGGUGUAGUCAAAAGCAUUUUUGUUUGAUACAAGUCAGAUAAUUUUGUGAAAAAAUAUAUAUUGUUCCUCAAAGAAACUGUAAAAACCAGGAGAUUCCAGUGGGAUAAAAAGGUUAUAUUUGCUAAGACCAGUGUCUCGCCUGCUUUAAGAAUCUAAUAAAUGUUUUAAGAACUUUAACUGCAGACUGUAUGUAACUGGAUGAAAAACUAAGUCCAUAUAUAAGUAAUAUACGGAAAAACAGGAAAUAUAUAUUUUUUUAAUUUCCUUCUAGAUACUAGCUUUUGAUCAUAUUCAAGCUUCUGUCCAAGUUUGGUAGAAAUCCAGGGUUGUUUAAGAAAGUUAUUAAAAUUUCAAAAACUUUAACCACACAGUGAAUAUUUCUGGACGCCGCCGCCGACGACGACGACGGAAUGUAAAGAUCGCGUUUGUGACAAAAGUCGCAGGCUCGACAAAAACCAAACCAUUAAAAAUUGUUUGGUGAUGAGAUGUAAACAAUAUAUUCAGGUUAAUAUAAUGGGUACCCAGGUUAGGGCAGGAUGGUGCCUUCAAAUUAGUUUAGCCCCGCCACAUUCGGUAUGUGCCUGUCCCAAGUCAGGAGCAUGUAAUUCAGUGUAAUGGUUGUCGUUUGUUGCUGUAUCAUAUUUGUUUUUCUUUCAUUAUUUUGUACAUGAAUCAGGCCGUUAGUUUUCUCGUUUGAAUUGUUUGUGUGGAUAUGAAUUAUUAAAAGAGUCAAAGCAGGGACUUUCUAUACUAACUAGUAUAGACUGUCCCUGGUCAGAGUCAAUCUCUCUCACCAACAAAAAAGCAAGCUAAUGUCAAUUACUUUAUCAAUGGACGUCUCCUUGUACGCGUGAAGGAUACAUCUAUAGCCCCGAAAGUCGUUCGGUUGUCAUCGUAUAACGCAGAUAUGUUUUAACCCGGCACAUGACACUGAAACUGCGUUGAUUCAGCGGUGAAAUUGGUCACAGGCAUUGUCAAUUCUGCGUUGCAUUGUAAAUAGCAGAACACCCUGCAGACACAAUAUUCGUCUGCUAUAAAAAGAGGGGAAAUAAAGCGCUGGUGAUGGGAACGAACGCCGAGAGUCUGAGAAGUGAUAUCGACUCGUUGACUUCUACAACUUUUUGUUUAUUUAACCGCACAGUGCCCAUUUAUUUCCCCCUUCACUUUCUUUCACUCGGAGUCUCCUCCCUCUCUCUCAUACCUCUAGCUCGUUUUUAUUUUUUAUUAUUUUUAUUAUGAUUUUUUGUUUUUGACAAAACGAUGUUGAAGCCUUGGCUUCCGAGCUUCCGCCUAGCUACGCCACUGGCAGUA
rnacentral:lncRNA from 1 species